rnacentral:rRNA from 1 species
UACGUAGGGUGCAAGCGUUGUCCGGAAUUAUUGGGCGUAAAGAGCUCGUAGGCGGUCUGUCGCGUCUGCUGUGAAAACUCGGGGCUUAACCCCGGGCCUGCAGUGGGUACGGGCAGACUAGAGUGCGGUAGGGGAGACUGGAAUUCCUGGUGUAGCGGUGAAAUGCGCAGAUAUCAGGAGGAACACCGGUGGCGAAGGCGGGUCUCUGGGCCGUAACUGACGCUGAGGAGCGA